rnacentral:rRNA from 1 species
GUGGUAUCAAUUGCAGAAUCAUUCAAUUACCGAAUCUUUGAACGCAAACGGCGCAUGGGAGAAGCUCCUCAGAGUCAUCCCCGUGCAUGCCAUAUUUCUCAGUGUCGAAC